AAGGAAGAUUGAGUAGCCAUCAGAAAGGAGGAACUAGAUGUAUUCCAGUGAGAGACGUUACCAGGAGGAAGAAACUAUAAAGUUCAUGGUACUCAAGGGGGUCUCUGACCAAAAAAGGAUUAAGAAGAAUUGAGGCAAAAGGCACACAACAAGACAUUCUCCAGAUCACCUGGCAUCUAGCUGGGGCCACAAGGUUUUUUUCUGCCAACGGAAUAUGUGCAGAAGUGAUGUAUAUGACCUCAGAGCCCAGCCUCUAAAUAUCCUGUGUCAUGCUCCACAUUCUGUCCAUUCAUCUCUCAGUUAACUAAAUAGAAGUGAUGCAAGGGAGGACUCCAAGGAAGCCCUAGGGAUCAUGAAGCUACAGAAUGGGAGAAUUGCUGUCACCACAGUUCUGGAAGAAGAAUUGUUCAGGAGAACAGCCAUUGGACUAUGGCAUGCCAAAGAAAUCUCUGUUGUGAAACCACAAUUAAAAGUUGUUCUUCCUGCCUCUGCUUCUUGACCAACCCCUGAGUGGCCCUGUAUAGUGUUCUCCCUAGGAAACUGCAAGCAAGAUGAUAAUUUGAUUUUUGAGUUAACCUGAUGAGUUUUUGUAGCUGUCAAGAGCUCUUAAAUUGAGCCAAUGAAAGCAAAAUUCAAUAGAAGAAAGCAAAAAAAUGAAGAAGACAGCAUUAAAGGAAAAGAUCAAGCUUUCUAGAAUCAUACUGGCUAUUAAUAAUGCCUUUGGCUUUGGGAUUGGGAAUUUUUGAUGUGACCAAACAGCCAUUUAUGUUCUCAGAAAACUGGAAUAGGAAUAUCCUAUGGUGGAAGAAAAGAAUGGACCAUGAUGAAAAUUUCUACACCAGAAGAGUUUAAAGAUGAAGAAAGCACCACAGAAGCAGUUCAUGUCUCACUAAGGCUAGACACUGAUGGAUCUAACGUCUCUCUUUGGAAUUUAUUGGCAUUUAACACCUAUUAUCGUCAACUCUGGAGUCCUCAGCUAAACUCUAAGAGAACAGGCAAGGAGAAGGGGAAAAUAAUGUGACUACCUCUGGCCAAAGCACUGAAUUCCACUUCAAGACCCACCUUUUCCCUCAGCUACAAUGACUGGCACUGUUUUAUAAAGUGGUUGUUUUAUCAGCCUGGGAUCUGGCACAAGGACAGUGAUGAUCAGAGGCCCAGCUGAGCCUCAAGCACACAUAACAUGCAUUUUCAACUCCAAGCCCCUGAGAUUUGGGAGCUGCCUAUUAAGAAGCGUAACCUAUUCCAUCCUGACUAUUUCACAGAGGGAACAGUUAAAAGAAUAAUGAGAUAUUAUUUCAAAUAAGGAAAUUAUGGAGAAGUUUAAAUGACAGGCAAACAUAUUUGAAGUUUAUUAAAUAAAAAGUCAGUAGGAAAUUAUUGAAGCUUUGUGAAGAGGGAAAGCAAUUAGUCAAUGGAGAGUUUUAAAAUCAGUGUGGUCACAGCAGUAGGACAAAUUAAAGAAGGAAAGAACAGAGAUAUGAAGACUAACUAGUUAACAGUCCAUUGCAAAAUCCCAGUGAAAAAUGGUAAGCUCUCUGAACAGAGAAUGAUUGAAAAUUGAAGAAGAGAGAGGGAACAGUGAGAAAUGAAUCUAGCAUUUCAAGCCUGAGUACCUGGGAGAAAUGUAGGACUAUAAAUAACAGAUAUAGAAUAGCGCAAUUAAGAGGACUGUCUAUUUCUGUUGAUAAUAGUAUCAUUUUCUUAAAUUUGUUUUGACAAAAAUUAUUUUAGAUAUGUCAGGUUUGGGGUGACAGACAGUGAGUCAGAUAUGUUGAUGUAUCCAACAGGAAAGCAGAGAUAUGGAAAUACAGAAAAGUUCAAAAGUCAGUGGUAAAGAAUUGGACCUGGUAGCCAUCUGCGUACGGGCUGGCUUGGGUAGUUGUCUAGAAGUGGUGAUGUUAUCCAAGAUAGAAACUGCACAAUGAGAAACAGUUGCGGGGUUGUAUCCAUCAGGGUUUAGUGUAGAAAACAGAAUUUACAGAUGAGGAACUGCUCUUUCCACCCUGCAGUAAGGGCACUGCUGCCAACAUCACAUCUGGGGCAUUCAGAGCGCCUGAUGCCAGAAGUUUUGUCUGCUGGAGCUGCUUUUCUGCCCACAGCACUAUAAAAAAGAAUCACCUCCGUUUUCCAAAUAGUUCGUGAGUGCAUUUCAUUGGCACAACCUUAAUCACAUCCAGGACCCUAGCCACAAAAUGUCUUUAAAACAUAGUGUUUAGACUAAUAGCCCCUAUAAUAUUAUGUUAAUGGUGGAAGAGUGUAGGAACAUACAAAGGAGAUACAAAUGGAUGCUGAUUGCAAGUAGACAAUGCAAAGUCCCCAUGGGACAUCAAAGUAGAGAAAUCUAACAUCCCUUAGGUAAAUUAAAAAUGAAAUUCUGGGACCUUAGAGAAAGAUGGGGAAAUAUCAACAUUUAGAUCAGGGGUGUCCAAUUUUUUGACUUCCCUGGGCCACUUUGAAAAAAUUGUCUUGGACCACACAUAAACUACGCUAACACUAACAAUAGCUGAUGAGCUAAAAAAAAAAAUCACAAAAAAAGUCUUAUAAUGUUUUAAGAAAGUUUACGAAUUUGUAUUGGGCAGCAUUCAAAGCCAUCCUGGGCCGCAUGCACCCCACAGGUCGUGGGUUGGACAAACUUCACUUAGAUGAUAAGUUGAAGCCGUGGAACUAAUUGAGAUUGUUUAGAGAGAGGAUUUAGAUCAUUUGAGGUGUUAAAUCCCCAUCCUGGUGACCACAGUGUUUAAAAAGAAAGCCUAUGUUUAAAAGGCAGGAAGAAAAAGCUGCAUCAAGGGAAAUUUGCUCCAUAUCAGGCUUUAGUAGCCCAUUUCUGACAAGGAAUUUCCUAAUACUGUACUUAAAAUACCGUAGAUUAACCCUAUGUAGUGAAUUAAAAGAAGAACAUGUGAAGGUGUAUGUGGUUUGAAACAGGAAGAACUGAAUGGAGCUGAUAACCAGUUAGAAUUAACCAGUUAAAAUAUAGUAAUGUAUACAAUUUCCCAGUGUGAAUGUAAAUAUGCCAUGCAUGUUACCUGAAAAUUAAUAUUAAGCUCUGAUAAGAUUCUUAUUUCUAAAAGUUGACACUGUUGUAUUGCCUUUAAAUUUGAAGGUGAGGUAUAAAAUUAAAACCUAUACUAUUUUUUCAUAGUUUUCCACUUGGACCAAUUUCACAACUAAAUUGUUUUUUGAAAAAGUACUUUUUAAAUGAGCACUUAUUCUGUUCAAACAGUAUUAGGCAUUAUGUGGGAUCCAAAGAUAAGACAUUGUCCCUCCUGUCAAAUGCACCAAAAUUGAUUAAAUUAAGAUGUAACUUGGGGUCAUGCUUAUUGCUAGAGCAAUUUUUUCAUUUUUCCUUCUUAUUUUCAGAGAGAAUAAAGUCUCCUUCUACUGAGGUAAUAGCUACCACAAAGAUUUUAUAACUUAAACUGUUUUGUAAUAAUUUUUAUUUCUCUAUAAUUUGGGUCUAAUGAGACUGCAAUUUUAUUUUACAUUUUAUCCUUUUUUGUUAAGUAUAUUCUUCCUAUUACUUUAAUAAAAAAACAAAAUGAAGUUUUUAACAUUGUUAAGAAGUGUCUGCUUGAUUCUUCUGUUAGUUCAAAUCUAAAUCUGUUCAUAAGCUUUAUGAAAUUACAUGUAACAAAAUACAUUAUCUACACAUAGACAAAUAU
rnacentral:lncRNA from 1 species